GACGAACGCUGGCGGCGUGCUUAACACAUGCAAGUCGAACGGAAAGGCCCUGCUUUUGUGGGGUGCUCGAGUGGCGAACGGGUGAGUAACACGUGAGUAACCUGCCCUUGACUUUGGGAUAACUUCAGGAAACUGGGGCUAAUACCGCAUAGGAGCUCCUGCUGCAUGGUGGGGGUUGGAAAGUUUCGGCGGUUGGGGAUGGACUCGCGGCUUAUCAGCUUGUUGGUGGGGUAGUGGCUUACCAAGGCUUUGACGGGUAGCCGGCCUGAGAGGGUGACCGGCCACAUUGGGACUGAGAUACGGCCCAGACUCCUACGGGAGGCAGCAGUGGGGAAUAUUGCACAAUGGGCGGAAGCCUGAUGCAGCAACGCCGCGUGCGGGAUGACGGCUUUCGGGUUGUAAACCGCUUUCGCCUGUGACGAAGCGUGAGUGACGGUAAUGGGUAAAGAAGCACCGGCUAACUACGUG
rnacentral:rRNA from 1 species